rnacentral:rRNA from 1 species
GAUGAACGCUGGCGGCGUGCCUAAUACAUGCAAGUCGAGCGAACAGACGAGGAGCUUGCUCCUCUGACGUUAGCUGCGGACGGGUGAGUAACACGUUGAUAACCUACCUAUAAGACUGGGAUAACUUCGGGAAACCGGAGCUAAUACCGGAUAAUAUAUUGAACCGCAUGGUUCAAUAGUGUAAGACGGUUUUGCUGUCACUUAUAGAUUGAUCCGCGCCGCAUUAGCUAGUUGGUAAGGUAACGGCUUACCAAGGCAACGAUGCGUAGCCGACCUGAGAGGGUGAUCGGCCACACGGGAACUGAGACACGGUCCAGACUCCUACGGGAGGCAGCAGUAGGGAAUCUUCCGCAAUGGGCGAAAGCCUGACGGAGCAACGCCGCGUGAGUGAUGAAGGUCUUCGGAUCGUAAAACUCUGUUAUUAGGGAAGAACAAAUGUGUAAGUAACUAUGCACGUCUUGACGGUACCUAAUCAGAAAGCCACGGCUAACUACGUG